UUUUUUUUUUUUCCUUUAAUUCCAUUGAUCAGGACAGUACCAUUGAAGCGUAGGGGCUUGCUCAUCAGAGAAGAAAUUGCAUGCCUCCUCAUUGCUAAAGAAAUUGUGCUCUUCCAUCUUCACGAACUGGGUUUGAUACGUUGUCGUUUUUGUGAACUGGAACGAUGAUGAUGCUGAUGCUGGUGGAGGAGACAUCAUUAA
rnacentral:misc_RNA from 1 species